rnacentral:rRNA from 1 species
UGGAGAGUUUGAUCCUGGCUCAGAGUGAACGCUGGCGGUAGGCCUAACACAUGCAAGUCGAACGGCAGCACAGAGGAGCUUGCUCCUUGGGUGGCGAGUGGCGGACGGGUGAGGAAUACAUCGGAAUCUACUUUUUCGUGGGGGAUAACGUAGGGAAACUUACGCUAAUACCGCAUACGACCUACGGGUGAAAGCAGGGGACCUUCGGGCCUUGCGCGAUUGAAUGAGCCGAUGUCGGAUUAGCUAGUUGGCGGGGUAAAGGCCCACCAAGGCGACGAUCCGUAGCUGGUCUGAGAGGAUGAUCAGYCACACUGGAACUGAGACACGGUCCAGACUCCUACGGGAGGCAGCAGUGGGGAAUAUUGGACAAUGGGCGCAAGCCUGAUCCAGCCAUACCGCGUGGGUGAAGAAGGCCUUCGGGUUGUAAAGCCCUUUUGUUGGGAAAGAAAUCCAGCCGGUUAAUACCUGGUUGGGAUGACGGUACCCAAAGAAUAAGCACCGGCUAACUUCGUGCCAGCAGCCGCGGUA